rnacentral:rRNA from 1 species
GCGAACGCUGGCGGCAGGCUUAACACAUGCAAGUCGAGCGGGCGUAGCAAUACGUCAGCGGCAGACGGGUGAGUAACGCGUGGGAACGUACCUUUUGGUUCGGAACAACACAGGGAAACUUGUGCUAAUACCGGAUAAGCCCUUACGGGGAAAGAUUUAUCGCCGAAAGAUCGGCCCGCGUCUGAUUAGCUAGUUGGUGAGGUAACGGCUCACCAAGGCGACGAUCAGUAGCUGGUCUGAGAGGAUGAUCAGCCACAUUGGGACUGAGACACGGCCCAAACUCCUACGGGAGGCAGCAGUGGGGAAUAUUGGACAAUGGGCGAAAGCCUGAUCCAGCCAUGCCGCGUGAGUGAUGAAGGCCCUAGGGUUGUAAAGCUCUUUUGUGCGGGAAGAUAAUGACGGUACCGCAAGAAUAAGCCCCGGCUAACUUCGU